AAAAAUGUAAUGACCAAAAGAAGUACAUCUAUUUUUAACCGUAUAGAGAAUAAGAGCCACUGACUGAAAGCUCUUAUCAUUACUUUUAGCAGCCCAGAGAGUAAGAGCCACCGGCUGAAAGCUCUUACCAUCGCUAAAUAGAUGGAAUGCAUUUGCGAGCAGAAUUGCAGAAUAAGAGUAUGCAAUUUCGGAUCCUUUCCGUUAUCAGGUUUAAGUGGCAAAUAUAUGUUUGCAAUCAGAGUGGAACCACGGACCACCGUCUCUGUA
rnacentral:ncRNA from 1 species